AUACGUAGGGGGCGAGCGUUGUCCGGAAUGAUUGGGCGUAAAGGGCGCGUAGGCGGCUUUGCAAGUCAGUAGUGGAAGUCCAUUUUUCAAGGAUGGAAGUGCUGCAGAAACUGCGGAGCUUGAGUGCAGGAGAGGUUAUCGGAAUUCCCGGUGUAGCGGUGAAAUGCGUAGAGAUCGGGAGGAACACCAGUGGCGAAGGCGGGUAACUGGACUGCAACUGACGCUGAGGCGCGAAAGUGUGGGGAGCAAACAGGAUUAGAUACCCUGGUAGUCCACACUGUAAACGAUGAAUGCUAGGUGUAGGAGGUAUCGACCCCUUCUGUGCCGCAGUAAACACAGUAAGCAUUCCGCCUGGGGAGUACGGUCGCAAGAUGAAAACUCAAAUGAAUUGACGGGG
rnacentral:rRNA from 1 species